ACCUGGGUGGCUCAGUUGGUUGAGCGUCUGACUUUGGCUCAGCUCAUGGGUUCGAGCCCCACGUCAGGCU
rnacentral:tRNA from 1 species